rfam:Brassica oleracea var. oleracea cultivar TO1000 chromosome C3, whole genome shotgun sequence
GGAAUAUAAGAAUCCGUCUACUAACUUUUAACUAAAAAAACUAAGAAACAGUUCUUAAAUAAGAGCUUUAAGAGCCGGUUCUUAACUUUUUUUAGUUAAAAGUUAAGAGACGGAUUCUUAUAUUCU